GACGAACGCUGGCGGCGUGCUUAACACAUGCAAGUCGAACGGUGAUGCUCCAGCUUGCUGGAGUGGAUCAGUGGCGAACGGGUGAGUAACACGUGAGCAACCUGCCCCAGACUCUGGAAUAAGCGCUGGAAACGGCGUCUAAUACUGGAUACGAAACUGGCCCGCAUGGGCAUGGUUUGGAAAGUUUUUCGGUUUGGGAUGGGCUCGCGGACUAUCAGCUUGUUGGUGAGGUAAUGGCUCACCAAGGCGACGACGGGUAGCCGGCCUGAGAGGGCGACCGGCCACACUGGGACUGAGACACGGACCAGACUCCUAAGGGAGGCAGCAGUGGGGAAUAUUGCACAAUGGGCGAAAGCCUGAUGCAGCGACGCCGCGUGAGGGAUGACGGCCUUCGGGUUGUAAACCUCUUUCAGCAGGGAAGAAGCGAAAGUGACGGUACCUGCAGAAGAAGCACCGGCUAACUACGUG
rnacentral:rRNA from 1 species